GUUUCACCGUGGUCUCGAUCUCCUGACCUCGUGAUCCGCCCGCCUCGGCCUCCCAAAGUGCUGGGAUUACAAGCGUGAGCUACCGCGCCCGGCCGCUGCAAGAAUUCUUUAUGUGGCUAUCCUCUCCAUAGUUCUCUGACCAGAAUUGCAAGGGCAAAAAUAGAACUUCUAGCUCUAUUUGUUUGUAUCCUUUGAAAUCAGAACUUAUCCUUAGAACCAGUCAGUUAAAUAAUGCGGACUAUGCCUAUAAUCCAAACACUUUAGGAGGCUGAGGCAGGCAGAUCACGAGGUCAGGAGUUCGAGACCAGCCUGGCCAAUAUGGUGAAACUCCGUCUCUACCAAAAAUACAAAAAUUAGCCGGGUGUCGGCCAGGUGCGGUGGCUCACGCCUGUAAUCCCAGCACUUUGGGAGGCCGAGGCGGGCGGAUCACGAGGUCAGGAGAUAGAGACCAUCCUGGCUAACACGGUGAAACCCCGUCUCUACUAAAAAAAAAAAAAAAUACAAAAAAAUUAGCCGGGCGAGGUGGCGGGUGCCUGUGGUCCCAGCUACUCGGGAGGCUGAGGGAGGAGAAUGGCAUGAACCCGGGAGGUGGAGCUUGCAGUGAGCCAAGAUCAUGCCACUGCACUCCAGCCUGGGCGACAGAGUGAGACUCCAUCUCAAAAAAAAAAAAAAAAAAAAAAAAAAAUUAGCUGGGCAUGGUGGUGCACGCCCAUGCCUGUAGUCCCAGCUACUCGGGAGGCAGAGGCAGAAGAAUCGCUUGAACCCAGGAGGCGGAGGUUGCAGUGAGCCGAGAUACUGCCACUACACUCCAGUCUGGGCGACAGAGCAAGACUCCAUCUCAAAAAAACAAAACAAAAUAAAAUAAUAAUGUGGGCUAUUCAGAAGAAAAAGUCAGUGACAGACCAGAACCCAUUGGAUCAAGAGACCUGCAGGGAUUGUAACUCUUUACUCUGUGAGCAGCGGUGUUUCGUGCCCUGUCUCUGCCUGUGUGUUUUUACUAAGAAUUCCAGAAAUCCUAUAAUUUGUAAAUGGGAAACAGAGGAACCAGAUUCUUUUAUGGCUGAUAAGAAACAGUCUGUUUUAGAAACAUUUGUUUGGAAAGUAUUACUCAUGUAUUCACAAAGUCAUAUUUAUAACACUAGUCUGCUUUGACUGUAUUCAACAAAAGGCAGUUUCACCAUUAAUUUCAUAGUAAGCUUUUUUAAAGGAUUCUAGAUCUAAAUUGCCUAAGAAUGUUAACCACAUUCUUGUUUUAAACUCUCUAAUUUAAUACAUGUAAUGAUAAUAUAGUCAUUUGCCAGUUCUUUAAGGUAUUCAGGCAUUUGAGACAAGAAAGCUCUCUUGUAGAAUAGUCCAAUUGCUUUCUUAAACAGUACUGGUUUCAUUUAGACAGUUUCUAAGCCAGCAAAGGUGUCAAUUUUAAUGCCAACUUGACAGUUUAACAGUUUGUGUUUGUAAGCAGUUUAGCCUGAAUUACCCCAUACUGCUAUCGAGGAGAAUUGUUAGUAACAUCAAAGGUCAGAAUGCUUCAGGUGACUAAUAAGAACGGAAAGAGACUGAGUAGGUUUUUUGUUUCUUUUCCCUGUCUUUGAGUAACUUUGAAUGACUAAAAUUAGUAUGAAACUAGGUUUUGGACCCCCUUCUCACCUCACCCGGAUGUAAUGCCACCAAUUUCAAAUAACUAAAAUGUGACCAAUUACUUUGCUUCAAGUUCUAUACAAAUAUCUCUGAAAUCUGUAAGCCAUAUUUCAGCUAUUCUGGUUUUUAUAAUACAUUCUACCCUAAAUUAACCAAAGGACUUUUUAUUCAGUGUAUUCCAUGUUUCAGCAUAAGGAAAGUUUGUGCCUGAUAUGGCGAGAGAAAGAAGACUAUGGUAAUUUCAUUGUUACUUCAGGUCUCUUUCAAUCUGAAGGACUGGGUUGUCUGGAGAAUUGAACAUAGCCAAGCAAUAUUAUCAAUUAGUAAUGUCAUCUUAAAAAUGUUCAGUUUUACUAAGUUUUAUUCAGAAGAUCUAUGUAUUAUUAGAAAAAUGAAGUAUUUCUGAUAUGGAACAAAGAAAGUGGAAACUGGUACUUAAUGGGGGAAGCAAAAUUAGCUUGGACUAAAACGGACAUGUUUUGUUUUGUGAAUUCUACCUAAAUGUCUCUCUAUCCACAGAGAAACUAGUAUUACUUGAAGAUGUGAAAGUUCCUGUGGUAGCCAUACCUUGAAGCACAGUGUUUGUACAUAAGUAAAUAUUCUUGAUUCUAAAUUAAAUCCAGAUUUAACUAAUAUAUAUUAUUUUAUACCUUUGUUGUAUUAAAAUGUUUAAAAACACUAAAAAUAAAACAUUUGAAAGUUGGA